UUGCUCUCACUUUUCCACUCCCCACUCUUUCCUCCACUCCCACACACUCUCCUCCUACCUCUCCCCACGAAAUUGCUGCUCCACCUAGCUUCAUGGCCGGCCAUGGCCAUGAAAAGCUCUCCAAGAUGAAGCUCUCCCCCUCCCUCAAGCUCCCCCUCUCCAUGAGAGCAUCCCUCUCCUUCUUCUCCCCAAUCCUAGAUGGUUUUCUCUCCUCUUCUUCUUCCUCCCUUGCUAAGAUUGGAUCUUGAUGCAGGUGCAUGUUGGUCCAAGCAUGGAGAAGGUUGAGCUAUCCUCAGAUCUGAAGUUCUUGAGCAAAAUCCAAAUCGAGUGGUUCAAAGUUCUGCAGAUAGGGGAUAAUUGGUUUAUACCAUGGUGAUAACCGAGAGAGGCAAUUGCUAAGUUGUGACGCACUCAUACCUCUACUAGAUGCGAACACUUCCGGAGAAGAAGAAGAAGUGGAAUCGGACGGGGAUUUUAUUUUUAUUGUUGGAAUACAUAUUUGAUGGAGUUGAAGAAGUCCAGGGACAAAUAAGCCAACCAAGGCAAGCCAUCUCUUGAUCUCUGAAUGUUGAAUCACAUAUCGUGGUUACUUUGUUGUUAUUCUUGUCUCUCGAUAUUUUUU